GGUGGAGCAUGUGGUUUAAUUCAAUGAUACGCGAGGAACCUUACCAAGGCUUAAAUGUAGAUUGACCGAUUUGGAAACAGAUCUUUCGCAAGACAAUUUACAAGGUGCUGCAUGGUUGUCGUCAGCUCGUGCCGUGAGGUGUCAGGUUAAGUCCUAUAACGAGCGCAACCCCUGUUGUUAGUUGCCAGCGAGUCAUGUCGGGAACUCUAACGAGACUGCCAGGGCAAACUGUGAGGAAGGUGGGGAUGACGUCAAAUCAUCACGGCCCUUACGCCUUGGGCUACACACGUGCUACGAUGGCCGGUACAGAGAGCAGCCACCUCGCGAGGGGGAGCGAAUCUAUAAAACCGGUCACAGUUCGGAUCGGAGUCUGCAACUCAACUCCGUGAAGCUGGAAUCGCUAGUAAUCGGAUAUCAGCCAUGAUCCGGUGAAUACGUUCCCGGGCCUUGUACACACCGCCCGUCAAGCCAUGGAAGCUGGGGGUGCCUGAAGUCGGUGACCGCAAGGAGCUGCCUAGGGUAAAACUGGUAACUAGGGCUAAGUCGUAACAAGGUAACAAGUCGUAGAGUUUGAUCAUGGCU
rnacentral:rRNA from 1 species